AUGGUCAGCGUCACCGAGCUCUGCCCGUUGUCCCUGGAGAUCGUGAACCGGCCCUUGACCGAUGGCGCGUACCAGGAUUCAGGAAAACUCUGGUUGAGAUUUGGGACAAAACCAGGGGAGUUUGGGGAAAAGCAGCGAAGGUUUGGGGAUGGGGGAGCGGCCGUGACCCUGCUGGAGUCCGGGGGGCACCUCCAGCCCCCCGGGGGGUCCCUGCGCCUCCUCUGCCGAGGCUCCGGCUUCAAUUUUGGGGAUUUCAACAUGGGCUGGAUGCGCCAGAGACCCGGGCAGGGGCUGGAGUUCGUGGCUGGGAUCAGCAACAACGGGGGCAACACCUGGUACGCGCCGUCGGUGCAGGGCCGGUUCAGGAUCUCCAGGGACAACGGGCAGAGCUCGGUGACGCUGACCAUGAACAACCUCAAGGACGAGGAUUCCGGAUCCUAUUUCUGCACCAAGGGUGUUUACAGUUGUUGUGCCGCUUCUGCUCCUGAUGUCCAGAACUCAAAUUUUGGGCCAAAAGUCCCGAUGUGA